CCUACGGGAGGCAGCAGUGGGGAAUAUUGCACAAUGGGGGAAACCCUGCUGCAGCGACGCCGCGUGAGUGAAGCAGUAAUUCGUUAUGUAAAGCUCUAUCAGCCGGGACGAAAAUGACGGUCCCUGAGUAAGACGCCCCGGCUAACUACGUUCCAGCAGCCGCGGUAAUACGUAGGGGGCCAGCGUUAUCCGGAUUUACUGGGUGUAACGGGAGCGUAGACGUCAGUGCAGGGCUGGAGUGAAAGGCGGGGGAUAAACACCCGGACUGCUCUGGAAACGGUACGGCGGGAGUGAAGGAGAGGUAAGUGAAUUACUAGUGUAGCGGUGAAAUGCGUAGAUAGUAGGAGGAACACCAGUGGCGAAGGCGGCUUACUGGACUGUAACUGACGUUGAGGCUCGAAAGCGUGGGGAGCAAACAGGAUUAGAUACCCCAGUAGUC
rnacentral:rRNA from 1 species